rnacentral:rRNA from 1 species
GAUGAACGCUGGCGGCGUGCCUAAUACAUGCAAGUCGAGCGAACGGACGAGAAGCUUGCUUCUCUGAUGUUAGCGGCGGACGGGUGAGUAACACGUGGAUAACCUACCUAUAAGACUGGGAUAACUUCGGGAAACCGGAGCUAAUACCGGAUGAUAUUUUGAACCGCAUGGUUCAAAAGUGAAAGACGGUCUUGCUGUCACUUAUAGAUGGAUCCGCGCUGCAUUAGCUAGUUGGUAAGGUAACGGCUUACCAAGGCAACGAUGCAUAGCCGACCUGAGAGGGUGAUCGGCCACACUGGAACUGAGACACGGUCCAGACUCCUACGGGAGGCAGCAGUAGGGAAUCUUCCGCAAUGGGCGAAAGCCUGACGGAGCAACACCGCGUGAGUGAUGAAGGUCUUCGGAUCGUAAAACUCUGUUAUUAGGGAAGAACAUAUGUGUAAGUAACUGUGCACAUCUUGACGGUACCUAAUCAGAAAGCCACGGCUAACUACGUG